rnacentral:rRNA from 1 species
GGUCAACUCUUUGGACACUCGUAAACAGGUGGUGCAUGGUUGUCGUCAGCUCGUGUCGUGAGAUGUUGGGUUAAGUCCCGCAACGAGCGCAACCGUCGUUCUAUGUUGCCAGCGCGUAAUGGCGGGAACUCAUAGGAGACUGCCGGGGUCAACUCGGAGGAAGGUGUGGAUGACGUCAAAUCAUCAUGCCCCUUAUGUCUUGGGCUUCACGCAUGCUACAAUGGCCGGUACAAAGGGCUGCAAUACCGUAAGGUGGAGCGAAUCCCAAAAAGCCGGUCUCAGUUCGGAUUGAGGUCUGCAACUCGACCUCAUGAAGUCGGAGUCGCUAGUAAUCGCAAUCAGCAACGCUGCGGUGAAUACGUUCCCGGGCCUUGUACACACCGCCCGUA